UGAGUAAUGUCUGGGAAACUGCCCGAUGGAGGGGGAUAACUACUGGAAACGGUAGCUAAUACCGCAUAACGUCUUCGGACCAAAGUGGGGGACCUUCGGGCCUCACACCAUCGGAUGUGCCCAGAUGGGAUUAGCUAGUAGGUGGGGUAAUGGCUCACCUAGGCGACGAUCCCUAGCUGGUCUGAGAGGAUGACCAGCCACACUGGAACUGAGACACGGUCCAGACUCCUACGGGAGGCAGCAGUGGGGAAUAUUGCACAAUGGGCGCAAGCCUGAUGCAGCCAUGCCGCGUGUAUGAAGAAGGCCUUCGGGUUGUAAAGUACUUUCAGCGGGGAGGAAGGCGAUGAGGUUAAUAACCUUAUCGAUUGACGUUACCCGCAGAAGAAGCACCGGCUAACUCCGUGCCAGCAGCCGCGGUAAUACGGAGGGUGCAAGCGUUAAUCGGAAUUACUGGGCGUAAAGCGCACGCAGGCGGUCUGUCAAGUCGGAUGUGAAAUCCCCGGG
rnacentral:rRNA from 1 species